rnacentral:rRNA from 1 species
GAUGAACGCUGGCGGCGUGCCUAAUACAUGCAAGUCGAGCGAACAGAUGAGGAGCUUGCUCCUCUGACGUUAGCGGCGGACGGGUGAGUAACACGUGGAUAACCUACCUAUAAGACUGGGAUAACUUCGGGAAACCGGAGCUAAUACCGGAUAAUAUAUUGAACCGCAUGGUUCAAUAGUGAAAGACGGUUUUGCUGUCACUUAUAGAUGGAUCCGCGCCGCAUUAGCUAGUUGGUAAGGUAACGGCUUACCAAGGCAACGAUGCGUAGCCGACCUAAGAGGGUGAUCGGCCACACUGGAACUGAGACACGGUCCAGACUCCUACGGGAGGCAGCAGUAGGGAAUCUUCCGCAAUGGGCGAAAGCCUGACGGAGCAACGCCGCGUGAGUGAUGAAGGUCUUCGGAUCGUAAAACUCUGUUAUUAGGGAAGAACAAAUGUGUAAGUAACUAUGCUCGUCUUGACGGUACCUAAUCAGAAAGCCACGGCUAACUACGUG